rnacentral:rRNA from 1 species
GGCCCCCCCUAGAGCGGCGGACGGGUGAGUAACACGUGGACAAUCUGCCCCCCGGUUGGGGAUAGCCCAGGGAAACCUGGAUCAAUACCGGAUGCGACGGGAGGCACGCAGGUGCUUCCCGGGAAAGGCGCUUCGGCGCCGCCGGGGGAUGAGUCCGCGCCCCAUUAGCUAGACGGUGAGGGUAACGGCCCACCGUGGCGAUGAUGGGUAGCCGGCCUGAGAGGGUGGACGGCCACAUUGGAACUGAGACACGGUCCAGACUCCUACGGGAGGCAGCAGCUAAGAAUCUUCCGCAAUGGGCGCAAGCCUGACGGAGCGACGCCGCGUGAACGAUGAAGGCCGUGAGGUUGUAAAGUUCUUUUCGGGAGGGGGAAUGAGCCUGCCAGGCAAUGGGCGGGCGAUGACGUGAAUCCCGGAAUAAGCCCCGGCUAACUACGUGCCAGCAGCCGCGGUAACACGUAGGGGGCGAGCGUUGUUCGGAAUCAUUGGGCGUAAAGGGCGUGCAGGCGGCCGCCAAAGUCCGGCGUGAAAGACCCAGGCUCAACCUGGGGGGUGCGCCGGAUACUGGGCGGCUUGAGUACAGGAGGGGAUGGCGGAAUUCCAGGUGUAGGGGUGAAAUCUGUAGAUAUCUGGAGGAACACCGAUGGCGA